GAAGAUGCGGAGUACCAACGGCUAGACGGUAAGACCCCGUGCACCUUGACUAUAGCUUCGCAGCGACAACCUUAAUCGAAUGUGUAGGAUAGGUGGGAGGUGGUGACACACAACGACCAAUCCUAAAAGACCACUCUUUCGUCUAAGGAUGCCUAACCACCGCACCGAUCAUUCGGGGGGGGGGGGGCACGGCGGGGGGGG
rnacentral:ncRNA from 1 species